rnacentral:rRNA from 1 species
AUACUCUGGUAUCCUGUACUGAAUCCAUAGGUACAGGAGGGGAACCGCCUGAACUGAAACAUCUAAGUAGGGCGAGGAAGAGACAUCAAACGAGAUUCCGUUAGUAGUGGCGAGCGAACGCGGAAGAGGGCAAACCGGAAGGAGAAAUCCUUCCGGGGUAUGGACCGCUUUUAGGACUUUAGCUGUUAAUCGAAUGGCAUGGGAAGGCCAACCAAAGAGUGUGAGAGUCACGUAGAUGAAAACGGCGAGAGCUGCGCGAGUUCCAGAGUACGGCCAGACACGUGAAACCUGGUCGGAAGAUGGGGGGACCACCCUCCAACCCUAAAUACUACCCAGUGACCGAUAGCGUAUAGUACUGUGAAGGAAAGGUGAAAAGGACCCCGGGAGGGGAGUGAAAUAGAACCUGAAACCUUGUGCCUACAAGCACAUAGAGCACAUCAACGUGUGAUAUGGUACUUUUUGUAGAACGGUCCGGCGAGCGAUUGUAUGUUGCGAGCUUAAGGUCUUAAGGACUGGAGGCGUAGCGAGAGCGAGUCUGAAUAGGGCGUUCAGUAACAUGCAAUGGGCCCGAAACCGGGUGACCUACCCAUGAUCAGGCUGAAGUGAAAGUAAAAUUUCAUGGAGGGCCGAACCGACCUCCGUUGAAAAGGCGGCGGAUGAAUUGUGGGUAGCGGAGAAAUUCCAAUCGAACUCGGAGAUAGCUGGUUCUCCCCGAAAUAGCUUUAGGGCUAGCCUCAUGUUAGAUAUCCGGAGGUAAAGCACUGAAUGGCCUAGCGCCCGAGAGGGUAGCGAAGCCUAUCAAACUAAGAAUGCCGGAGUAUUGAUGUAUGGGAGUCAGACAGUGUGAGAUAAAUCUCAUUGUCAAAAGGGAAACAGCCCAGAUCUACAGCUAAGGUCCCAAAUUGUAUCUAAGUGGAAAACGAUGUGGAAAUACGCAGACAACCAGGAUGUUGGCUCAGAAGCAGCCACUCAUUUAAAGAGUGCGUAAUAGCUCACUGGUCGAGCGUCUCUGCGCGGAAAAUUUAACGGGGCUAAGAUACAAACCGAAGCUUAGGCUGCAACGUAAGUUGCGGGGUAGGGGAGCGUUGUGUAAGCGGAGAAACAGUAGCGGAAGCGGCUGUGGAGUUUACAGAAGUGAGAAUGCCGGAAUGAGUAGCGCGAAUGAUGUGAGAAUCAUCAUGGCCGAAAGCCUCAGGUUUUUGGAGGAAGGUUCGUCCGCUCCAAGUUAGGCGGGAGCUAAGGUCAGGCCGAAAGGCGUAGCCGAUGCACAGACGGUAGAGAUUCCGUCCCCACCGAAAGAUUUAAGCACAGGGACACUUUUUGAAGGUCGGAGCCAGGUGUUGGUUCUGGUAGUGAUCGAGGGAAAUAUAGUACCGAAGUCCGGCUGGAAGAGAGGCGAGAAAAGCUGUGUGUAUAUCUAAGGUGCCCGUACCGCAAACCGACACAGGUAGGUAGGAAGAAGAUUCUAAGGCCAACGGGAGAAGGGUUGUUAAGGAACUCGGCAAGUUGACCCCGUAACUUCGGAAUAAGGGGUGCUCACGAGAGUGAGCCGCAGAGAAUAGGCCCAGGCAACUGUUUACCAAAAACACAGGUUUGUGCUAAAUCGAAAGAUGACGUAUACGAGCUGACGCCUGCCCGGUGCUGGAAGGUUAAAAGGAGAUGUGCAAGCAUUGAAUUGAAGCCCCAGUGAACGGCGGCCGUAACUAUAACGGUCCUAAGGUAGCGAAAUUCCUUGUCAGGUAAGUUCUGACCCGCAUGAAAGGCGUAAUGAUCUGGGCACUGUCUCAACAGCCCGC